rnacentral:lncRNA from 1 species
AAGUUUUCCAGAUUCAAAGGUAUUUUCUAGAUUGCUCUUAGAUAUCUAACAGGCUCUAAAGAAUGUUUUGCAGUUCACUGAAAAAUAUGAAAAAAGAGCAUAUCCUUCUGGCGCGUGCUUCAGUGGCACACACAGGUGAAUCCCCACGCUGCCUAAGCCUUUGAGAGGGAGGCAGCCUCUAAGGCAGAGCAGCCUGAAGAGUGAGGGGAACGUUCGUGCGCCAAGCCUAGUGACUCCUUUGGACAUCCUAUAUAGCUCCAGAUGGAUUCCCCGGAGUCAUAACUUCUGUCUACACAGUCACUAUCACUGGAAAGAGAUGUCCAAGAAUGUUAGCCACCUAGAGGGGAUCCAAAUUUAUUGAGAAGGGUUUAGAAAUUAAAUAUCACCAGCCUGGAUGAUACUUAACAGAGAGGGUGAAUCUAAGAGGUCCUGGGCCUUCCUGAACUCAGGAAGUCGGCUAAGCUCGGAGAGAAUCCACCUCGACCAUCAGUCUGAUAAUGUCUACGCUGAUCUCCAAUGGCUUCUCCUUAGUCCUUAGCAAGAAACGUUUAGAGUCAUGUUCCUACAGUUCCAUUUACAAAAGGUGCGUCUGGGGAAAAGAGCAUUCAGGCAGAGGAACAGCAAAAAGAAAUUUUCAAGGAAUGUGAUGACCCCUGGGCAGAGAGUCUAUGCUGAUAGUCAUCAUCAAGGACAACUGAAAAAUCAGGAUAUAGGGCAUUGCUCUGGUCUCUGAUGCACAUCCAGUAAAACAAAAGACUGUCAGGAACUAAGAGCAGAUGUCUGCCCCUCCUCCAAGGAUCAGAUGGAGGCCCCACCCAGAGACCAGCCCC